UGCACUUGUAGCCUAUGAGGAUGAGAACCUCCGGGGGCAGGGAGGUUCGACUCGAGCGAAGCGAGAGAACGUUGCGCCAGCAACGGCCCGCAGGGCGAGCCACGAAGUGGCGAGUAAUCCUCUAUCACCGACCA
rnacentral:sRNA from 3 species